rnacentral:rRNA from 1 species
GAUGAACGCUAGCGGGAGGCCUAACACAUGCAAGCCGAGCGGUAUUGUUUCUUCGGAAAUGAGAGAGCGGCGUACGGGUGCGUAACACGUGUGCAACCUGCCUUUAUCUGGGGGAUAGCCUUUCGAAAGGAAGAUUAAUACUCCAUAAUAUAUUGAACGGCAUCGUUUAAUAUUGAAAGCUCCGGCGGAUAGAGAUGGGCACGCGCAAGAUUAGCUAGUUGGUGAGGUAACGGCUCACCAAGGCGAUGAUCUUUAGGGGGCCUGAGAGGGUGAUCCGCCAAACUGUGAGUGAGACACGGUCCAGACUCCUACGGGAGGCAGCAGUGGGGAAUUUUGGACAAGGGGCGCAAUCCUGAUUCAGCAAUUCCUCGGGAGUCAAGAAGGGCUUCGGGUGGUAAAGAUCUUUCGAAAGAGAAGAAAACUAACCAUCGAAUAAAUGGGGACGCUGAGGGGACCUAGAUAAGAGACAACCGCACAUUACGUG